GAUGAACGCUGGCGGCGUGCUUAACACAUGCAAGUCGAACGAUGAAGCCCAGCUUGCUGGGUGGAUUAGUGGCGAACGGGUGAGUAACACGUGAGUAACCUGCCCUUAACUCUGGGAUAAGCCUGGGAAACUGGGUCUAAUACCGGAUAGGAGCGUCCACCGCAUGGUGGGUGUUGGAAAGAUUUAUCGGUUUUGGAUGGACUCGCGGCCUAUCAGCUUGUUGGUGAGGUAGGGGCUCACCAAGGCGACGACGGGUAGCCGGCCUGGGGGGGGGACCGGCCCCGCUGGGAUGGAGAAGGGGCACGGCCCCGAACGGGAGGGGGCGGUGGGGAGUAUAACAAAAGGGGCGCGGGCCUAAGCCGGGGCCGCCGCGGGGGGGGAGAGGUCUUUGGGUUUGUAACCCUCUUCCAGUGGAAAAGAAGCGAAAGUGACGGUACCGGAAGAAGAAGCACCGGCUAACUCCGUG
rnacentral:rRNA from 1 species